rnacentral:piRNA from 1 species
UGCUUAAGCAAACUACAGAAGCAACCCUC